rnacentral:rRNA from 1 species
GAGUUUGAUCCUGGCUCAGCCUGAACGCUGGCAGCGUGGUUAAGACAUGCAAGUCGCACGGGCGUAGCAAUACGUCAGUGGCGGACGGGUGAGUAAUGUAUCGCUAACGUACCCCGAGCUCUGGGAUAGCCAUCCGAAAGGAUGGGUAAUACCAGAUGAGACCCCGGCAUCGCAUGAUGCUGAGCUCAAAGCUCCGGCGGCUCGGGAGCGGGCGAUAUCGUAUCAGCUAGUUGGUGAGGUAACGGCUCACCAAGGCGACGACGCGUAACCGGACUGAGAGGUCGGCCGGUCACAUCGGGACUGAGACACUGCCCGGACUCCUACGGGGGGCUGCAGUAACGAAUCUUCGUCAAUGCACGAAAGUGUGAACGAGCGACGCUGCGUGGAGGAUGAAGUCCUUCGGGAUGUAAACUCCUGUCAGGGGCUACCAAGUUCUGAGGAGCCCCAGAGGAAGAGGCGGCUAACUCUGUGCCAGCAGCCGCGGUAAGACAGAGGCCUCAAGCGUUAGGCGGAAUCACUGGGCUUAAAGCGUGUGGUAGGUGGAUUGGCAAGUGCCUUGUGAAAUCCCACGGCUCAACCGUGGAACUGCUGGGCAUACUGCUGAUCUUGAGCCAUCUAGGGGCAGCUGGAACAACGGUGGAGCGGUGAAAUGCGUAGAUAUCGUUUGGAACGCCUAAGGCGAAAGCAGGCUGCUGGGGGAUGUGCUGACACUGAGACACGAAAGCCAGGGGGAGCAAACGGGAUUAGAUACCCCGGGUAGUCCUGGCCCUAAACGAUGUCCACUAGAUCGUAGCGUCUCUGACGGCGUUACGGUCGAAGCAAAAGUGCUAAGUGGACCGCCUGGGAAGUACGGUCGCAAGGCUAAAACUCAAAGGAAUUGACGGGGGCUCACACCAAGCGGUGGAGCAUGUGGUUCAAUUCGAAGCAACGCGCAGAACCUUACCUGGGCUUGACAUGCCUGGAUUAUCCCUGUGAAAGCAGGGUACGCCCGCAAGGGUGGAACAGGCACAGGUGCUGCAUGGCUGUCGUCAGCUCGUGUCGUGAGAUGUCGGGUUAAGUCCCAUAACGAGCGAAACCUUUGCCCUUAGUUACCAGCGGGUUAUGCCGGGGACUCUAAGGGGACUGCCGGUGUCAAACCGGAGGAAGGUGGAGAUGACGUCAAGUCCUCAUGGCCUUUAUGCCCAGGGCCACACACGUGCUACAAUGGCGUCGACAAAGCGAACCUAGAGCGCAAGCUGGAGGAAAUCGCAAAAAUGACGCCCCAGUUCAGAUCGGAGGCUGCAACUCGCCUCCGUGAAGUUGGAAUCGCUAGUAAUCGCGGAUCAGCUACGCCGCGGUGAAUGUGUUCCUGAGCCUUGUACACACCGCCCGUCAAGUCAUGGGAGCCGGAAAUAGCCGAANCAGCCUCGAUACAGAGGUUCCUACGCUAGGUUCGGUGACUGGGACUAAGUCGUAANAAGGUAACC